rnacentral:rRNA from 1 species
UACAGAGGUGGCAAGCGUUGUUCGGAAUUACUGGGCGUAAAGGGCGCGUAGGCGGCCUUCUAAGUCGGACGUGAAAGCCCCAGGCUUAACCUGGGAACUGCGUCCGAUACUGGGAGGCUUGGAUUCGGGAGAGGGAUGUGGAAUUCCAGGUGUAGCGGUGAAAUGCGUAGAUAUCUGGAGGAACACCGGUGGCGAAGGCGGCAUCCUGGACCGAGAUCGACGCUGAGGCGCGAAAGUGCGGGGAUCAAACAGG